rnacentral:rRNA from 1 species
UUAGAUACCCUGGUAGUCCACGCCCUAAACGAUGAGUACUAAGUGUUGGUGAGAAUCAGUGCUGAAGUUAACGCAUUAAGUACUCCGCCUGAGUAGUACGUACGCAAGUAUGAAACUUAAAGGAAUUGACGGGAGCCCGCACAAGCGGUGGAGCAUGUUGUUUAAUUCGACGAUACGCGAAGAACCUUACCAGGUCUUGACAUAGCACGCGAAGGCGUAGAGAUACGUUGGAGGAUAGCGUGCAUACAGGUGGUGCAUGGUUGUCGUCAGCUCGUGUCGUGAGAUGUUGGGUUAAGUCCCGCAACGAGCGCAACCCUUAUUUCUAGUUACCAGCAGUAAGAUGGGGACUCUAGAGAGACUGCCAUUGAUANAUGGAGGAGGUGNNGAUGACGUCAAUCAUCAUGCCCUUAUGACCUGGGCUCAAACGUGCUACAAUGGCUGAAACAAAGAAAACGAGCCCGNNAGGGGGACCGACCUAAAAAAAGCGCUUAAUUCCGAUUGGAAUUCUGCAACUCGCUUUCCUUAAAAAAAGGGGAAUUGCUCUUUUAUCCCGGAAAUUAAAAGUGCCGGGGGAAAAAACUUUUUCGGGGGCUUUGUAACACCC